rnacentral:rRNA from 1 species
GACGAACGCUGGCGGCGUGUCUAAUACAUGCAAGUAGAACGCACAGUUUAUACCGUAGCUUGCUACACCAUAAACUGUGAGUUGCGAACGGGUGAGUAACGCGUAGGUAACCUGCCUGGUAGCGGGGGAUAACUAUUGGAAACGAUAGCUAAUACCGCAUAAUAUUGAUUAUUGCAUGAUAAUUGAUUGAAAGAUGCUAUUGCAUCACUACCAGAUGGACCUGCGUUGUAUUAGCUAGUAGGUGAGGUAACGGCUCACCUAGGCGACGAUACAUAGCCGACCUGAGAGGGUGAUCGGCCAGACUGGGACUGAGACACGGCACAGACUCCUACGGGAGGCAGCAGUAGGGAAUCGUCGGCAAUGGACGAAAGUCUGACCGAGCAACGCCGCGUGAGUGAAGAAGGUUUUCGGGUCGUAAAGCUCUGUUGUAAGAGAAGAACGGGUGUGAGAGUGGAAAGUUCACACUGUGACGGUAUCUGACCAGAAAGGGACGGCUAACUACGUG